AUGCACCCUCGGGCAGCUUGCAGGGGGAUGUUAAGGCAGCUGAGCAGCUUUUUUGAGGUGGGGGAGGGUAACACUCUUAGCAGUAACUCGGGUUCCCCUUCCCCCCCCUGGAAACCGCGGGGGUGGUGGCCCGGGUUCCUGUCCCCUCUUGGCUGGGGGGUGGGGAGGCAGGGUUUGGGAAGAGGACUGCGUGGGGGUAGGCCCGUGUUUCCUUCAUCCUCCUGGAGGCCACGGGGAAAGGGAGAGGCCCGAGUUCCCCUCACCCACGCUAGGCGUGGGGGCGAGGGGAGAGCGCGGGUUGAAGGGCUGCGUAGGGUCGCAGGUCCCCCCACCGUGGGGGUAGGGGCUGCAUUGGGACGCGGAGCCUCCCCAGAGGCCGUGGGGGGGGUGCGGACUCUAGCCCCCCUUCGCCGUGGGGGAGGGGCGGGCCUGGAGUCCCCUCCCCCGGCCGUGGGGGAGGGGCAGGUUUGGGGCGCGACCCCCCCCCCACAGGGCGCAGGGGCGGGGCCGAAUGGACUCGGGUUCCCCUCCCCCUCGCCGUGGCGGUGGGGACGGGUUGGGGGGGUUGGGGCGCGCUCCUCCCCCCCCCGGCUGUGGGGGAGGGGCUGGCCCGGGCGGCGGCGGCCCCCCUGGAAGUCCUCCCGGCCCGGGCCGGCGCGCUGGCGGCCGCUCGCCCUCCACCCGCACCAACCCGGAGGUCACUGCCCGUGCCGGUCCCUCCCGCCGUCCCGCCCUCUCCCGCCGCCGCCGCCACUACCACCGCCGCCGCCGCUCCCGCCCCAGCCCCCCCCCCCCACUCUCCGCUCUCGGGAGCGAGGAGCCGCCAGCGCCCCCGCCCCGCCGCCGCCGCAGCGCCCUCGGCCGCCAUUCGGCACCCGAAACUUUCCAGCGCCCGCGCCUCUCCGGGACUCGCGGCGGCGGGGCGGGGGCGGCCCGGGGGCGGCGCGCGGCUGCUCCAGGGCGCCGGGCCCUCGUCGGCCGCGGCACGGCCCGGUCUCGGCGACGGCCGGCGACAGGGAGGUUCGGCGCGCCGCGGCGCCGCCACAAGUUGCGCUGCUGGCGGCGAGGUGGAGCGCGCGGAGUCGGGACGCUGCGUGUGACGCUGGGGGGACGUCCGCAGGUGGAGUGUGCCGAGUCGGGACGCUGCGUGUGACGCUGGUGGGACGUCUGCAGGUGGAGCGUGCGGGGUCCGGACGCUGUGUGGGACGCUCGCAGGAUGCUCGCAGGAUGCUCACAGGUGCGGUGCGUGGAGUCGGAACGUGUGUGCAGCGCUCGUAGGAUGUCUGUAGGUUCCGGGGUGCAGUGCUGCUCCAUGGUGCUAGCCAGGUCUCUCUCUAACGGCGCCAGAGUCCCCCUCGUUUGCGGGGCUGCCUCAUGGCACCUGCUCAGGGGGCACUUUGUGCCCUCCAGUGCAAUUUGGGCAUCGCAGAAAGGGAGUUAUGCGGCUCAGGGUGUAAAAACCGGUAGAGAAUCUCCAUUCCAGAUGCGUUCCCUUACCAAAAUAUGGAAGAACCGGUUCAAGUUUCAAAAUACACCACCCUCAGGAAUAAACACAACGCACGACAGAAAACUUUUUCUUCUGCAGGAGAAAACCUGGAUGUGGGGAGAGCAUUUAUGAAUUAUUCAUUUUGCAAUGAGCAAGGCGAUUUAAAAAAUCCAUACACGAGAAGUAUCCUGUUUACAGUGUACAUCUUUCAAAGCGAACGUAUGUUUAUAAUUCAGGCAUUAAUUUAAUGGAGUGCAGGCUUUUCUCUCAUCUUUUUUUUUUUCCUUUUGUUAAAGUAAGUAGCUUCUGGGUCUGCUUGGCAUUGUGGAGG
ensembl:lncRNA